rnacentral:rRNA from 1 species
UACCAGCACCCCGAGUGGUCGGGACGUUUAUUGGGCCUAAAGCAUCCGUAGCCGGUUCUACAAGUCUUCCGUUAAAUCCACCUGCUUAACAGAUGGGCUGCGGAAGAUACUAUAGAGCUAGGAGGCAGGAGAGGCAAGCGGUACUCAGUGGGUAGGGGUAAAAUCCGUUGAUCCAUUGAAGACCACCAGUGGCGAAGGCGGCUUGCCAGAAUGCGCUCGACGGUGAGGGAUGAAAGCUGGGGGAGCAAACCGG